AGAAAAGUAUUUAAAAAAAAUAAAAUCUAACUUGCAAUUAGAAAUUGAUUAUUCCUUUUCUA
rnacentral:tRNA from 1 species